rnacentral:rRNA from 1 species
UACGAAGGGGGCUAGCGUUGCUCGGAAUCACUGGGCGUAAAGCGCACGUAGGCGGAUUUUUAAGUCAGGGGUGAAAUCCUGGAGCUCAACUCCAGAACUGCCUUUGAUACUGGGAAUCUCGAGUCCGGGAGAGGUGAGUGGAACUCCGAGUGUAGAGGUGAAAUUCGUAGAUAUUAGGAAGAGCACCAGUGGCGAAGGCGGCUCACUGGCUCGGUACUGACGCUGAGGCGCGAAAGCGUGGGGAGCAAACAGG